rnacentral:rRNA from 1 species
UUCCGGUUGAUCCUGCCGGACCCGACCGCUAUUGGGAUGGGAUUAAGCCAUGCAAGUCGCGCGUCCCUAGCUAUGAUGGGAAGCGGCGAAAAGCUCCGUAACGUGUAGUUAACCUACCCUCAGGGCGGGAAUACCUUCGGGAAACUGAAGAUAAUUCCCGAUAGUUGAUUAGGCCUGGAAUGGUUUUUCAUCUAAAGAUAUCGUCUCAUGCGAUGAUAUCGCCCGAGGAUGGGACUGCAUCUGAUUAGCUUGUUGGUGGGGUAACGGCCCACUAAGGCGAUAAUCAGUACGGGCUGUGAGAGCAGUAGCCCGGAGAUGGAUACUGAGACAACGAUCCAGGCGCUACGGCGCGCAGCAGGCGCGAAACCUCCGCAAUACACGCAAGUGUGACGGGGCCAUCCCAAGUGCCAUCCGAUAAGGGUGGCUUUUGCCCAGUGUAAGUAGCUGGGAGAAUAAGGGGAGGGCAAGGCUGGUGCCAGCCGCCGCGGUAAAACCAGCUCCUCGAGUAGUCGGGAGGAUUACUGGGUCUAAAGCGUCCGUAGCCUGCCCUGUAAGUUCCUGGUCAAAUCCAGCGGCCUAACCGUUGGUUCGCUGGGGAUACUGCAGGGCUUGGGAACGAGAGAGGCCAAGGGUACUUAUGGGGUAGGGGUGAAAUCCUGUAAUCCCAUAGGGACCACCGGUGGCGAAGGCGCUUGGCUGGAACGUGUCCGACGGUGAGGGACGAAAGCCAGGGGAGCGAACCGGAUUAGAUACCCGGGUAGUCCUGGCUGUAAACGAUGCGGGCUAGGUGUUUGCGAGGCUACGGGCUGCGCAAGUGCCGUAGAGAAGUCGUUAAGCCCGCCACCUGGGGAGUACGGGCCGCAAGGCUGAAACUUUAAAGGAAUUGGCGGGGGAGCACCACAAGGGGUGAAGCCUGCGGUUUAAUUUGGAGUCAACGCCGGA